rnacentral:rRNA from 1 species
UGGGGAAUAUUGCACAAUGGGCGCAAGCCUGAUGCAGCCAUGCCGCGUGUAUGAAGAAGGCCUUCGGGUUGUAAAGUACUUUCAGUCGGGAGGAAGGUGUCAAGGUUAAUAACCUUGGCAAUUGACGUUACCGACAGAAGAAGCACCGGCUAACUCCGUGCCAGCAGCCGCGGUAAUACGGAGGGUGCAAGCGUUAAUCGGAAUUACUGGGCGUAAAGCGCACGCAGGCGGUUGAUUGAGUCAGAUGUGAAAUCCCCGGGCUUAACCCGGGAAUUACAUCUGAUACUGGUCAGCUAGAGUCUUGUAGAGGGGGGUAGAAUUCCAUGUGUAGCGGUGAAAUGCGUAGAGAUGUGGAGGAAUACCGGUGGCGAAGGCGGCCCCCUGGACAAAGACUGACGCUCAGGUGCGAAAGCGUGGGGAGCAAACAGG